rnacentral:rRNA from 1 species
UACGUAGGGUGCAAGCGUUAAUCGGAAUACUGGGCGUAAAGCGUGCGCAGGCGGUUUGUAAGUCUGUCGUGAAAUCCCCGGGCUCAACCUGGGAAUUGCGAUGGAGACUGCAAGGCUAGAAUCUGGCAGAGGGGGUAGAAUUCCACGUGUGAGCAGUGAAAUGCGUAGAGAUGUGGAGGAACACCGAUGGCGAAGGCAGCCCC